CCUGAUUGGCUGUAGACCACUGUCAAUUAAUCUCCUUCCUACCUUGUUUCCUGUUCCAUCGUGGCUAGCAUUUAGCAUUUGAAUGCUAGCGAUGGCGUUCUGAGACGUUCUGUACCCAAAAGGCAGAUAAAGUCAGCCGUUGCACAAAUAAGUUAUGGACUUGCUAGAACGCCACAUUCAACCAAUAAACAGCAACCAUUUAUUGAUCAUUUUAUCAGAAAAUACGACACUGAAUGACCGAUGUUUGAACGGAUCACUUCCGAUUAUUACCUUGUGCAGCAUGUUCGGCUUGGGGCCGCAGUUUGGCCAGCGGCGGCUCUGCUGAGGUGUAGAGACUCGACAAGUAUUCACGGGGAGAACCACCAGCGGGAGACCUUCUUGUGGGAGAAGGAUGCCCAGCAGAGACAGCACAUUGGUGUGAUGGAACCCCUUCAUUAUGAUGCCUUCUUUCAGAAACUGCUCCACCUCCUCCACGUCUGUUAUUCCUGAUGGCACACAAACUUUUCAGUAGGAGUACUACUCUUGAACAGUACACAUGAUAAACGAGUACCGAUGGCUGACUCACGAUUUAAAGAUUUGACAGCACAGUGUAUUUCUCUGCUGUUAUGGUCAGUGAAGUAGCCAUGAUAGACUGUUCCAAAAUGACCUGCAAGAGAAACCCAAAAAAAAAACACAAUUGCAGAGAACUUGCAAAACUCGCUAUACUGUCUUUACAGUACAUCCCCGUUUUUCCCAGAAGGUACGUUCCACGCCUACCAGCAAAUGCAAUAAACGGCCACCCAUCCUUCUUUUAUUCAUCGUAUCCUCAAUUAGGUUGUGGGGGCAUGCUGGGGCCGAUCCCAGCUGCCUGAGGCGGGUGGCCAGUCAACGCGGGGCACAUAUCCAAUCCAGUCCAAUCCACUUUAUUUAUAUAGCACAUUUUAUAAACAGAGUUUCCAAAGUGCUGCACAGACUAGUAAAAUAAAAAGUCAAAAUAAAAUACAAUAAAGGUACAAAUUGAAUUUAAUCCAAAACUAAAAGAUCAAAUAUUAAAUAAAAUUGUAAAAAAGAUAUUAAAAUAUUAAAAACAAGAAGCAAAGCAAUAAAAGUACAUAAAAAAAUAAAAGCAAUUAAAAUAAAAAGAACUAAAAGACACAGGACCAAACGACUCACUCCGAGUUAAAAACAAGAGAAUAAAAGUGGCUUUUAAGACGAGACUUAAAGCUUUCCAUGUUGGGGGCCUGGGGCCAACCAUAGAAAAGGCUCAGUCCCUCUGGUCUUAAGUCUCGUCUUGGGCACCACAAGUUGGAGCUGGCCCUCGGACCUCAGUGACCGCGCUGGAGACUAAAUUUGGAUAAGGUCCGAGAUGUAUUUGGGGGCCGGCACAUUCAACGCCUUAAAAACAAACAAUAAAAUCUUAAAAUCAAUCCUAAAGCCAACAGGCAACCAAUGCAGGGAGGCCAAAAUGACAUCCAGACAAGCAACCUUUUACGGCCAUAUUUGUACCUACAGACAACCUAACAGCCUCGCUCUCGUAGACCCGAUCUACUGUCUCAUCUGGUGGCACCCCCAUAGGUACUCACUGCUAAUUAACAAUAAGAUACAUGAUGGACAGGCGGCACGGUGGUCUAGUGGUUAGCGCGCAGACCUCACAACUAGGAGACCCUCGGCCAUCUCUGUGUGGAGUUUGCAUGUUCUCCCCGUGCAUGCGUGGGUUUUCUCCGGGUACUCCGGUUUCCUCCCACAUUCCAAAAACAUGCUAGGUUAAUUGGCGACUCCAAAUUGUCCAUAGGUAUGAAUGUGAGUGUGAAUGGUUGUUUGUCUAUACGUGCCCUGUGAUUGGCUGGCGACCAGUCCAGGGUGUACCCCGCCUCUCGCCCAAAGACAGCUGGGAUAGGCUCCAGCACCCCCGCGACCCUCGUGAGGAAAAAGCGGUAGAAAAUGAAUGAAUGAAUACAUGAUGGACGAAGUGCACACAACUGUGGUGUGUUCAGGGACCGCUGGAAAAAGUGCAAAAUCUCAAAAACCAAAAACAUUGAAGCAUAAAAACAUGAGGGGGUGUGGUCUGGUAACCGUGGCACCAGAUUUUGAAGACUCCAAAAUGGAGAAAGGGCGGGGGUCCACUGUACUAUAAUAGUAUUUUUUACUUUUACCUUUGCCAAUGAUCCGAUGGUGCUGCACGAUCAGCAUUUCAGCAGGAAUGAGAACAUCCUUCACUUCCUCCAGCAGCUCCGGCCUAAAACUGGAAAUGGAGAUUUUCUCUGCCGCCAUGAGAGGAGUGAGGGUCACGUCUAUACUGCUUGCAGCGUAGGCCAAGCUGGGGAAGGCCACGGACCCAACCAUGGGAGUCGGAGGAUUGAGGGACACUACUAGUGAAAACACAGACAUUUAUUAAGGACAGAGAAAAUGGCACCACAGCAUGUCUUGGAGGCACCUCUCCUGUAGUCCCCAACGGGUGACAUCUCCACGCUAUUUGACGCGGAACGGCUAGCACUGUGAGCCAAACGGGUCUCCACCAUGGAGGCUGAAAAACAUUUCACAACAUUGUUUUAAUUAUCAACCACCGAUGAGUAGAGCCGACAAACAUAGACAAUGAAACACCAAGGAUGUUCCGGUUGGAGGAGCUGCGUAAUUCACCGACAGCCGCGGCGCUAACUGCUGCAUAAACAGGUCUGAACAAGGUCCAAACAGGCUACCUUUCUUUUUCUUCCGCAAGUGCUUCAUGACAACGAAGGCUAGCACAGCCCCGGCCACCAGAGCCGCCAAGAUCCCCAGCACUAUCCCGACCAUGUAGUGGUUGCUGACUCGGAUCACGGUACCCACAUUGUGGACUUGUCCGUUAAUGGAGAUCUGGAACGAAGAGUCAUCAUACAUUUUAAAUAAAGGCUUUUCACUGCAACAGGAAACCAUUUUUAAAUAUUCAUCCCAGACUCAAGAUGAAUGCAUUUCCAUACAUAUACUGUAUGGGUAACAAAUACUCUCUAGGGUAUAUGUACUUCAUCAUGCCUAAUGUAUGCAGCCAUCACCCUACAAGCCUAAGACCCCCCUAAUGGCCACACCGUAACACAUGCACAUGAUGUAAUGUGGUCAAACAUGAAUAAAGUAUUUUUGGUAUUUCAUUCCAUGGUUUGUGCACUUAUAUGGUUUUACUGUGUACAGGAAAACUGAUCUUAUGGACCAGCGGGUUUUCAAUCCAGCAUUGCUAGCCUACCCAGAUUGGUGAAAUGUCCAAUUUCCCAUACGGAACAUAUUUCAAGUGAGGGGCAGACUGCCUGAAAUCAGCCCAAAAGGCCAGGCAUUCAGUGAUACAUGUAUAAUGUACAAAUGUAUCAUUUCCGGUGACUCGGACCCGGUGGAGGAGAGUCCAAAGGGCAGCCCGGGGGCCAUUUUCAGCUUAAAUUAAACUACAGUAAACCUCGGAUA